GGCGGAUGUACCCAAGUGGA
rnacentral:tRNA from 1 species